rnacentral:tRNA from 1 species
GCCAUUCAAUCAGUAUAGUGGUGAGUAUCCCCGCCUGUCACGCGGGAGACUGGGGUUCGAUUCCCCGCCGGGGAGGUG